CUUGGAUUACCAAUUCCUAGAGUUGUCCAUAAGUUUCUGUCAUCUUGGGCCAUUGUUCCAACCCAACUUUGUCCUAAUGGAUGGAAAACUGUAAUUGCCAUAUUGAUCUUAUAGCGUAGGUUGGGCUAUCCCGAGCUCACUGUAGAUCAAUUUAAUUCGUUAUACUCUUUUAAAGAGGAUGGGAGAGACUCCAGUUGGUACUAUGCCAGCAUUAAGCCUGAUUGGUAAAGCUUCGGGAUCAAGCUACAACUAUUUUCUAGAACAUAAAAAAAAAUAAAAAGAAAAAAGAAAAAAAAAAAGCCUAGUUGGAUGAGGAGAAGAAGAGCUGGAAGGAAAGGCUAAACAAGAUGGGCAUAGAAGUUGAGGCUAAAUCAGCAUCCAAACUCAAGCUUUAGGAUGAAGUGAAAACCUUGAGGAUCUGGAGAGAGAACGCCAAUAAUAGGGCUGCAUCUGAGAAAAAGGGGACUAAAGAGAAGAGGGACAAUGCUGAUAGAGAGAAACUUCGAGUUGAUGAGGCCAUAAAAGAGGUUUAGAAGGUGAUGUUAGAGUUGCCAAAGCAUUUGAACUAUAGAUGGAAUCACCUGAAUUUGACAUCUUAGCUCAGGAUGUUUACAUUGUCAGUUUGGAGGAAACAAUUAAGCACAUCCAGGGAAUGUUGUCUGACUUCGACAUAAGUUUUCUUCAGGAAGCUUUAGAUGAGCAGAGAGCCACAUUGAAGAAGAUGUCUAUUACGGCGGAGGUCAUCAUCUCUUUCCCAAUAGAAGACAAAAACCUUGACGUGAAUGUUUAAGAUCAGCUUGACCCUCCACCCGCUUUGACUUUUCUAUUUUAAUGACUUAAGUACAUUCUAUCUAUUAAUAUUAGUGAUUAUAAUCGAAUUGGUUGAUACACAAAUUCUAGGGAAUCUUGCUUAAGGGUUGGCCAAACGUAUCCUUGCCUUAAAAUUUUAUAGGCUAAUGAUUAUCCUCAAGAAUGAUUGCCGCAAAUCCCCUCAUGAACUUCCUACAAGGUAUACAACACUUCUUUUUUAUUCAGGCAUUACGACAAAAGAAUGGCAUAUCCUCUCUUGUAAAGCACAUCGUCCAAUCAAGUGUACCUAGCUGACCUUAUUCGUAAUUUUCUAUCUUCAGUAAGAUCUACCGGGCAAGUUUCAAUUUUGAGGUAUGAGGUGAUUUCAUCUAACUAGAUGGGUUAUGAUAACCAUUCAGACUACAAUUCCUUUCUCAAUGGCGAAAUGUUAGAGUCUUCCUACUGGGAUGCUAUCAACCUUUUAUAUUCCAUUGUUCGUGGCCAACCUAACUAGGGCGUCAGUUUUUAAAAUCUUUGGACUCCUUCUUAAAUGUAGUUAUUCAUCCAUUAUUCCUUUGCUUGGUAAGUUUCAUUGAUCUAAUUGACUGUAAGUUAAGAGUCACAAACCAUGUUGGGAGUUUUCAAUUCCUUUUGUCAUCCUCACUCCAGCUAUUAAUGCUUCAUACUCAGUUUCGUUGUUGAAAGUUUUAAAGUCAAAAGUGAGAGCUUGACAAAAAUAGUGGAAAUCAAAGCUGCUAGCACUAUCACUGUGGCAUAUCCGACAUUGGUGGAUGAACCCUCAACAAAUAACUAACAUGGGGCAUUGUUGAUCUUCCCAAAGGUCAAUGUUGAACUCUGCUAU
rnacentral:lncRNA from 1 species